AUGAUGAGGGAGGCCGGAGCGUGGUUUCCCUGGCAGAUCCAUGGCAUCCGCGGCUCCUGGGCAGAAAGAAGAAUGGAGACGAGGGAGAGAAGAAGGAAAAAAGGAGGGGAGGUGCGGUGUCCUGGGCAGGAGCUCGCAGGAGCCGAGCGACGGAGGACGUGCGCUGCAGACGGAGGGAUUCAGAGCCGGCCGGUGGGGCGACACCAACCAGGCCAGGGGUGGCGUACGAAUGAGGACUUCAUCACCAUCAGAUCAUAUAUGUUGAAGCAUGUGAAAGUGGCAGUAUCUUUUGAGGGAUUAAUGCCACACGAUCUUAAUAUUUAUGUUACAACAGCAGCAAAUGCGGAAGAAAGUAGCUGGGGAGCAUACUGCCCUGGGAUGUAA
rnacentral:rRNA from 1 species